rnacentral:misc_RNA from 1 species
CCAAUAGCGUAUAUUAAAGUUGUUGCAGUUAAAAAGCUCGUAGUUGAACUUCGGGGUCUACCCAUUGGUCAGGCUUAAUUGUCUGCACUGGUGAGAUGGAUCUCUACCUUCUGAGGAACUUUCAUGCCAUUUAUUUGGUGUGAUGGGAAAUCAGGACUGUUACUUUGAAAAAAUUAGAGUGUUUAAAGCAGACUAUCGUCUGAAUACAUUAGCAUGGAAUAAUGAAAUAGGACGGACUGAUUCUAUUUCGUUGGUUUCUAGGAUCACCGUAAUGAUUAAUAGGGAUAGUUGGGGGCAUUAGUAUUCAAUUGUCAGAGGUGAAAUUCUUGGAUUUAUUGAAGACUAACUACUGCGAAAGCAUUUGCCAAGGAUGUUUUCAUUAAUCAAGAACGAAAGUUAGGGGAUCGAAGACGAUCAGAUACCGUCGUAGUCUUAACCAUAAACUAUGCCGACUAGGGAUCGGACGAAGUUAAUUUUAUAAUGACGCGUUCGACACCUUACG